rnacentral:rRNA from 1 species
AAUAUUGCGCAAUGGAGGAAACCCUGACGCAGCGACGCCGCGUGAGCGAUGAAGGCCUUCGGGUCGUAAAGCUCUGUCCUCAGGGAAGAAAAUGAUGACGGUACCUGAGGAGGAAGCACCGGCUAACUACGUGCCAGCAGCCGCGGUAAUACGUAGGGGGCAAGCGUUGUCCGGAAUUAUUGGGCGUAAAGGGUGCGUAGGCGGCCUUUUAAGUCAGAUGUGAAAGCCCACGGCUUAACCGUGGGACUGCAUUUGAAACUGGAGGGCUUGAGUAUCGGAGAGGGUAGUGGAAUUCCCAGUGUAGCGGUGGAAUGAGUAGAUAUUGGGAGGAACACCAGUGGCGAAGGCGACUACCUGGACGAAAACUGACGCUGAGGCACGAAAGCUAGGGGAGCAAAC